GUGCGCAGCUGGGGAUCCUUGCUUUCUUCCCCAACGUUUUAGUGAGCGUUUGUUGCCUGAACGAAGUCCGACUUUUCUAUCAUUAAGUACGCAAUCACAGAUCACAGCCAGACAGGCCAGUGCUCUCCUUUUCUUUGUUUCUUCCAGGAAGAGAGGCUGCUCUUCUGUUUUAUUUACAACUGCCUCUCCUGCCCUCACCUUCCAGGCCGACUUCCAGAAGACAUUCUCAAUGUAUCUUUAGAGGGUACCAGCAGGAUCAAGCCCUAGUUGCAGGCGGUGGUGACCAGCUUGGAUAACGUGCCCUUGUACUGACCUUCAUUUCAACUGGUUGACUUUUCCCAGCUCCCUGCGUGCAAGCUCUGAUGUCUAAGGGGAGUUGAAGUUAAGACAGGAACCCACAAGUGUAGCUGCCAGCUUUCUCCAGUGGCUCUCCAACACCUACAGGAGACACCCCCAAACUCUUGGGAUAGCAUAUAAGGCCCCCCAGGCCCUGGGGCCUGCCUACCUCUUCAGCCUCAUCUUCCAAACACCUCCUACUUAGACUCAAGGCCUAUCUAACUCUUGCCGAGCCACCAACAGAAAUGUGCAGUUCAUGUAAGCCGUCAUGCCUCUGUAUGUGCAGUUCCCUCCGCCAGAUAUAACCUUCAUCUGCCUGCCGGUUCAAGGCUCAUUUCAUCAGUGAAACCUUGUCUGAACCUACAAAGAGGGACUUGGACACACUCGCCUUUGUCCCACAGCUGUGUCCUGUUAGAGCAACUGACAUACUGCAUUGUCUUUGUUUUCUUAGCAAAUCUGUCUUCCCUUCCAGACCAUGGCCUGGCAAAGGGCCUGGCCCAGAAAAGGGACUCAGUAAAUGCUGUUUGAUGACAUA